AAACCACAACCAUCUGUGAAUGUAACUACAAAGAAGAAAUCCAUUAAAAAGUAGGUUUAUUUUACAUUUUGCUUAUGUUGGUAUACUAGUACUUCUUUGAAGUUUGUAGUUGAUGCUAUGACAGAAAUUUGUAUUUCCUUCCCUUCCCCCUCAUUGCUGUUAAAAUACAAUGUACUUUACUUAGAGUUCAACAAUAUUUUGUUUUCUUUUGGACAUUGCUCAUCUCGGUGCACAUUUACCUUGAUGCCUGUUUUUUUGUCUCUUGUUUUCUGUCUGAUAUUGACAUUUUAUAUUGAAGUUGCGUUUGAGUGUCCGACAUUGUGUCUACAAGUCUUCCUACCUCAUUGCUGUUAAAAUACAAUGUACUUUACUUAGAGUUCAACAAUAUUUUGUUUUCUUUUGGACAUUGCUCAUCUCGGUGCACAUUUACCUUGAUGCCUGUUUUUUUGUCUCUUGUUUUCUGUCUGAUAUUGACAUUUUAUAUUGAAGUUGCGUUUGAGUGUCCGACAUUGUGUCUACAAGUCUUCCUACCUCAUUGCUGUUAAAAUACAAUGUACUUUACUUAGAGUUCAACAAUAUUUUGUUUUCUUUUGGACAUUGCUCGUCUCGGUGCACAUUUACCUUGAUGCCUGUUUUUUUGUCUCUUGUUUUCUGUCUGAUACUGACAUUUUAUAUUGAAGUUGCGUUUGAGUGUCCGACAUUGUGUCUACAAGUCUUCCUACCUUGUUUUAAUCUCUUUUAGAUAUUGAUAAUACAAUGGUGCACACCAACAUUUGUCUUCUGAUUCUUUUGGUGUCCAAAUUCAAUCCCUAGCAUAACUUAAUUGAGUUGGGGUUUAGGUAGAAGAUUUUUGUACUUCUGUUACAUAUAAAAUGCUGAGAGAAACAUCUCUGGUUCAAGUUUUAAUUUGUAAUGUAUUCUUCAUAUUUUGCCAUCACUCCUAGUGUGUGUUUGGCUGUAACCUCAAGUGAACAAUGCAGACAUGCAGUGUUCAUUGCAAAUUACAAAUGAGUCAGUGAUAUUGAUGACUUCAGUGAGGUUGCCUGAAAUGACCAAAACCUGUGGCAGUGACAGUGUAUAGUUUUUU
rnacentral:lncRNA from 1 species